rnacentral:rRNA from 1 species
CACAAGCGGUGGAGUAUGUGGUUAAUUCGACGCAACGCGCAGAACCUUACCUAGACUUGACAUCCCGGGGAUUUUCUGGAAACAGAGAAGUGCUUUAGCAAUAAAGAACCCGGUGACAGGUGCUGCAUGGCUGUCGUCAGCUCGUGUCGUGAGAUGUUGGGUUAAGUCCCGCAACGAGCGCAACCCUCGCCUUUAGUUGCCAGCAUUCAGUUGGGCACUCUAGAGGGACUGCCGGUGUCAAACCGGAAGAAGGUGGGGAUGACGUCAAGUCCUCAUGGCCUUUAUGUCUAGGGCUACACACGUACUACAAUGGCCGGUACAAAGGGCAGCCACUCAGCGAUGAGGCGCUAAUCCCAUAAAGCCGGUCUCAGUCCGGAUCGCAGUCUGCAACUCGACUGCGUGAAGUUGGAAUCGCUAGUAAUCGUAGAUCAGCAUGCUGCGGUGAAUACGUUCCCGGGCCUU